CAAUCUUUGACGCAAUGGCGCUCUCGGGAUAUACCUGGGAGCACGCCUCUCUCAGAAUCGAUCUCACUCUCACCCGCCUUUUUCUUAGGAGAAAGCAUGUGGUGGUAGCUGGGAGUCAAGCGCGCUUUACUGUGUGCUUGUCUCUUCAAAUGAGUGGAGCUGUAGUGGCGCCCUGUGCGCAGCUGCCCGCCUCCGUCGUCUCUCACGUGGCUAGUUUCGCAGCAAUGUGAAUUAACAAAACGUGAUGGGGUGGCGUUGGUGGCGCUGCGCGUUAUACAGUGUGUGUCAGCCCUUAUGCAACUACAGUGUAUGGUCAAUAAGCGUGGUUCUGUCUACCGUCUUUAGCGUGCUGCGACAUACAAAGCACUUCACCCGCUAUCAUUGCCUAGCAAUGAGCGACAAUCGGAGCCAAUGAAAAUUGGUCCCUUCCGACUGGCGUCCAACGGAGGUGAAGUGUGUCAUAGUACUGCAAUGUAAUGUACGGCUUAUCAGAACGUGGCUGUGUGGUGCUGACAAUGUGUCGGCCCAGUCGUUUGAUUUGAUCUGAGAUGAAGCGAGAUUACCCCCUGAAUUUAAGCAUAUUAAUAAGGGGAGGAAAAGAAACUAACAAGGAUUCCCCUAGUAACGGCGAGUGAAGCGGGAAUAGCUCAGACUGAGAAUCGAGUGUGCAUGCGCGCCCUCGAGUUGUAUAGUGUCGACAACAGUUCAGCGUGUGGUCCGGGGCCUAGUCCUUUGGAACAGGUAUCAGAGAGGGUGAGAAUCCCGUCUGUGGCAGG
rnacentral:rRNA from 1 species